rnacentral:lncRNA from 1 species
AAACACUCCAUCUUCUCCACUACUCCACAAUUUCAAAUAUUAGCACAAAAUUCUACAUAAACCAGUCUUUAUUCUUGUUCCAUUGUACUUCUUGCAUUCUUCUAGGUACGAAAGGUACAUCAUAGUACUGCACGUAGUACAAUAUUGUUUUUCAAAUUGAUAAACAAGAGGAAAUGGAGGUGGAGCAAGAGUGUACUACUCCAAAGAAUCAAGAUUAUCAGAUACCGAUGUCUGUGGUGUGUCUGCCGGCGCCGAGGAAGAAAAUGGAACGCCAGCAAACUAAGAAGAACCGUCCGAAGAAUGGUUACUUCCAGUCACCUGAUAUUGAGACAUUCUUUGCCAAUAGCCCUGGAAGAGAAGCUUUGGCUUAGGUUUUCUGUUUCCCCCUUUCUCUUUGCAUGAGUCUUUGUCCAUUAUUUCAGUUUGUAGAAGCAAUGCAGAAGUUCUUUACGAGAGGUGUAAAUCCUUCUUCUUCUUCUUCUUUUUUUUUUUUGGGUACUAAUUAUGAUAUUGGAUAUAACUCAGAUGUUUGAAUCAAUCUAUAUCAAAUUAAUUGUAUUUGUUGAUAGAUCCUUAUUAAUGCUAAGC